rnacentral:rRNA from 1 species
GCAGUCGCCACGGGAAUACAGAGGGUGCGAGCGUUAAUCGGAUUUACUGGGCGUAAAGCGUGCGUAGGCGGCUAAUUGAGUCGGAUGUGAAAUCCCCGAGCUUAACUUGGGAAUUGCAUUCGAUACUGGUUAGCUAGAGUGUGGGAGAGGAUGGUAGAAUUCCAGGUGUAGCGGUGAAAUGCGUAGAGAUCUGGAGGAAUACCGAUGGCGAAGGCAGCCAUCUGGCCUAAUACUGACGCUGAGGUACGAAAGCAUGGGGAGCAAACAGGAUUAGAUACCCCAGUAGUCCCUGUCUCUUAUAC